UUGAACGCUGGCGGCAUGCUUUACACAUGCAAGUCGAACGGCAGCGGGGGCUUCGGCCUGCCGGCGAGUGGCGAACGGGUGAGUAAUGCAUCGGAACGUACCCAGUCGUGGGGGAUAACUACGCGAAAGCGUAGCUAAUACCGCAUACGCCCUGAGGGGGAAAGCGGGGGACCUUCGGGCCUCGCGCGAUUGGAGCGGCUGAUGUCGGAUUAGCUAGUUGGUGGGGUAAAGGCCUACCAAGGCGACGAUCCGUAGCGGGUCUGAGAGGAUGAUCCGCCACACUGGGACUGAGACACGGCCCAGACUCCUACGGGAGGCAGCAGUGGGGAAUUUUGGACAAUGGGGGCAACCCUGAUCCAGCCAUUCCGCGUGAGUGAAGAAGGCCUUCGGGUUGUAAAACUCUUUCGGCAGGAACGAAACGGUGAUUACUAAUACUAGUCACUAAUGACGGUACCUGAAGAAGAAGCACCGGCUAACUACGU
rnacentral:rRNA from 1 species